GAUGAACGCUAGCGGCAGGCCUAAUACAUGCAAGUCGGACGGGAUAGGAGAGCUUGCUUUCCUUGAGAGUGGCGCACGGGUGCGUAACACGUAUGUAACCUACCCUUGUCAGGGGGAUAGCCUCUCGAAAGAGAGAUUAAGCCCGCAUAACAUCACACCACGGCAUCAUGGAGUGAUCAAAUAUUUAUAGGACAAGGAUGGGC
rnacentral:rRNA from 1 species